rnacentral:rRNA from 1 species
AUGCGCGCGCGCGGACCAGCGGGAGUUUGGUCGAUUGGGGCAGGCGUGGCAGCACGCGAGCCGGUGCGCCAGUGGGUGGCUGGGCCGGCGGGGUCGCGGGUCGCGCGACCGGUGGUCCGGCGAACGGCGACGGGAGCAUGCAUGCACGCACGCACGCACGUGUACAGAGAGAGGAGGGCGAGGUGCCAUGCCGAUGCCGCACCCAUGGCCGCGCGCGCCGCGCGCUGCUAUAUCCGUUGUGCGUUCGCGUGGCCCGGGCGCGCGGUCCUGGCGCGAGGGGACACCGUACGCGCGCCGGGCGGCGCUUUCUUUAUCGCCCACGCCCAACAGGCGACCGUCCCUCGAAGCGCUCUCUACUCUGACUGA